UACGUAGGGUGCGAGCGUUGAUCGGAAUUACUGGGCGUAAAGCGUGCGCAGGCGGUUUUGUAAGCCAGAUGUGAAAUCCCCGGGCUCAACCUGGGAAUGGCAUUUGGGACUGCAAGGCUGGAGUUUGGCAGAGGAGACUGGAAUUCCCGGUGUAGCAGUGAAAUGCGUAGAUAUCGGGAGGAAUACCGAUGGCGAAGGCAGGUCUCUGGGCUAUAACUGACGCUCAUGCACGAAAGCGUGGGGAGCAAACAGG
rnacentral:rRNA from 1 species